CACCCUUUAAUGUUUGAUGUUCUAACGUGGACCCGUGAUCCGGGUUGCGGACAGUGUCUGGUGGGUAGUUUGACUGGGGCGGUCUCCUCCUAAAGAGUAACGGAGGAGCACGAAGGUUGGCUAAUCCUGGUCGGACAUCAGGAGGUUAGUGCAAUGGCAUAAGCCAGCUUGACUGCGAGCGUGACGGCGCGAGCAGGUGCGAAAGCAGGUCAUAGUGAUCCGGUGGUUCUGAAUGGAAGGGCCAUCGCUCAACGGAUAAAAGGUACUCCGGGGAUAACAGGCUGAUACCGCCCAAGAGUUCAUAUCGACGGCGGUGUUUGGCACCUCGAUGUCGGCUCAUCACAUCCUGGGGCUGAAGUAGGUCCCAAGGGUAUGGCUGUUCGCCAUUUAAAGUGGUACGCGAGCUGGGUUUAGAACGUCGUGAGACAGUUCGGUCCCUAUCUGCCGUGGGCGCUGGAGAACUGAGGGGGGCUGCUCCUAGUACGAGAGGACCGGAGUGGACGCAUCACUGGUGUUCGGGUUGUCAUGCCAAUGGCACUGCCCGGUAGCUAAAUGCGGAAGAGAUAAGUGCUGAAAGCAUCUAAGCACGAAACUUGCCCCGAGAUGAGUUCUCCCUGACCCUUUAAGGGUCCUGAAGGAACGUUGAAGACGACGACGUUGAUAGGCCGGGUGUGUAAGCGCAGCGAUGCGUUGAGCUAACCGGUACUAAUGAACCGUGAGG
rnacentral:rRNA from 1 species